GAUGGCCAGCCACACUGGACGUGAGACACGUGCCAGGCUCCUACGGGGGGCAGGUGUGGGGAAUAUUGC
rnacentral:rRNA from 1 species